GAACGGGUGAGUAACAUGUGGGUGAUCUGCCCUGCACUUUGGGAUAAGCCUGGGAAACUGGGUCUAAUACCGAAUAUGACCAUGCGCCUCCUGGUGUGUGGUGGAAAGCUUUUGCGGUGUGGGAUGGGCCCGCGGCCUAUCAGCUUGUUGGUGGGGUAAUGGCCUACCAAGGCGACGACGGGUAGCCGGCCUGAGAGGGUGACCGGCCACACUGGGACUGAGAUACGGCCCAGACUCCUACGGGAGGCAGCAGUGGGGAAUAUUGCACAAUGGGCGCAAGCCUGAUGCAGCGACGCCGCGUGAGGGAUGACGGCCUUCGGGUUGUAAACCUCUUUCAGCACAGACGAAGCGCAAGUGACGGUAUGUGCAGAAGAAGGACCGGCCAACUACGUGCCAGCAGCCGCGGUAAUACGUAGGGUCCGAGCGUUGUCCGGAAUUACUGGGCGUAAAGAGCUCGUAGGUGGUUUGUCGCGUUGUUCGUGAAAACUCACAGCUUAACUGUGGGCGUGCGGGCGAUACGGGCAGACUUGAGUACUGCAGGGGAGACUGGAAUUCCUGGUGUAGCGGUGGAAUGCGCAGAUAUCAGGAGGAACACCGGUGGCGAAGGCGGGUCUCUGGGCAGUAACUGACGCUGAGGAGCGAAAGCGUGGGGAGCGAACAGGAUUAGAUACCCUGGUAGUCCACGCCGUANACGGUGGGUACUAGGUGUGGGUUUCCUUCCUUGGGAUCCGUGCCGUAGCUAACGCAUUAAGUACNNNGCCUGGGGA
rnacentral:rRNA from 1 species